GACGAACGCUGGCGGCGUGCCUAAUACAUGCAAGUCGAACGCAGGGGGGACGGGUGAGUAACACGUGGGUAACCUCCCAUCAGAGGGGAUAACACUUGGAUAAAGGUGCUAAACCGAUACUGGAGGAUGGACCCGCGGUGCAUUAGCUAGUUGGUGGGGUAACGGCCCACCAAGGCCACGAUGCAUAGCCGGCCUGAGAGGGUGAUCGGCCACACUGGGACUGAGACACGGUCCAGACUCCUACGGGAGGCAGCAGUGGGGAAUCUUCGGCAAUGGGCGAAAGUCUGACCGAGCAACGCCGCGUGAGUGAAGAAGGUUUUCGGAUCGUAAAGCUCUGUUGGUGGGGAAGCGGUAUCUACACAGGAAGCCACGGCUAACUACGUGCCAGCAGCCGCGGUAAUUC
rnacentral:rRNA from 1 species